rnacentral:rRNA from 1 species
UACGAAGGAUGCGAGCGUUAUCCGGAUUUAUUGGGUUUAAAGGGAGCGUAGGCGGUCUUAUAAGUCAGUGGUGAAAUCUCGUUGCUUAACAACGAACGUGCCAUUGAUACUGUAGGACUUGAGUACAGUUGCCGUUGGCGGAAUGUGUCAUGUAGCGGUGAAAUGCAUAGAUAUGACACAGAACACCGAUUGCGAAGGCAGCUCACUACGCGAUUAUUGACACUGAGGCACGAAAGCGUGGGGAUCAAACAGG